GCAAAGAUCAUUUCAAUUGAACAAAAAAACAUUUUGUAUAAAUAUAUAAAUAAAUAAAUAAAUAAAGAAAGAUGCAUCGUAGAUCAAUGAUUAUUGUAUUCGCAUAUAUUUUCAUGAUUUUCAUUUCAUUUAACAAACAAAUAGCAAUUGCUGAUGAUAGCAACGUGAAUACAAUGGUUGCCAACGAUCAACCGCGAUUUUUAUCUUAUGAACAAGAUUUUAAUACGAGAGAUAGGAUAAUAAGGGCACCAUUAUUAACACAAGGAGUAGAUAAUAAAAAUUUAGAAGCUAAGAUAAUAAAAGUACCACGUUUAAAUACAGUUAAUCUUUGUGAAAAUGGUAAAAGAAUGGAUACAACUGGAAGAUGCAGAACUGUAAUGUAAUCGUGCAAUUUUUCAUUAAAAAGAUAUAAAUAUUUAUAUAAAAAAACAAUAUAAACUUCAGUCCUGUGUGAUGGAAAGGGGCACCGUUUCGUUCGUUGAUUUUUAUCAUCAAAGCUACCAAACUUACGAUGGAUAUUUCUUGAUUCCGGGGGA